GUUCAGGUAAAUGAUGUGGAGAGUGUUUGCAUAUUGAUGAGCUGCUUCAGUGCUCUGAGAGUGUUUAUAGUGCUGUGACUUUAACACUUCAUCACCGACACACACAACAAUCUUCAUCAACAUGACCUUCAUCAUCAUCUUCAUCUGGACUCUCACAGCGUUUGCUCAAGAGUGUAGAGGACAGAUCAGCGUCACUCAGAGUCCCUCAACAACAGCAGAGAGAGCAGGAGAAACAGUCAGAAUCAGCUGCAAAACCAGUACAGAUGUGUAUGGUGGUGAUCGUUUAGCCUGGUACUUACAGAAACCUGGAGAAGCUCCUAAACUCCUGAUUUAUUUAGCAAACCGUCUCCAGUCAGGAACUCCAUCUAGAUUCAGUGGCAGUGGAUCUAACAGUGAUUUCUCUCUGACCAUCAGUGGAGUCCAGACUGAAGAUGCUGGACAUUAUUACUGUCAGAGUUAUCACAGUGGUGGUGUGUUCACACAGUGAUAAAGAGUCGUACAAAAACCUCCUUCAUUCAGAGUCUCAGAGACUGAACUGAUCCAGCAGCUGCUCAGAGGAGGAUCUGAAAUAACUCUGUUGUCUUUCUUGUUUUUGCUCGUUCUUCUUUCAUUCUGACUCACUUUAGGGAGAAGAGUAGAUCUCUGAGGUUUUGAUUGGAUGAAUUUCUAAACUUCAAUUCAGUGACAGAAACUCAGUUUCAGUUCAAUAACUGAAGAAUGGUUCAGGAAAGAUUCACAUGAAGAGCAGAUGAUGUCUGACUUUUAAAACUGCCAUAUUAUGUCUUUCUCAAUAAACCCAGCAUUGAGUCUCAGUUACUGUACACUACUGAUGAAAACUUUCAGAUGACCCAUACACACAUCUAACAUACACACGCACAAAUAUAACAUUUCUACAUAUGAAGUAUUUUAACUAAUGAAGUAAAACAUACGUAAAAUUUAUUCUAAAUUGGGACAGUUUAAAAUAUUACCAUCAUUUUCUCAAAUACAUGUCAUGUAGAUCUAUCCAUCUGUCCAUUUGAUUGCAGUUGUUUAAUAAAUGUUCAUAUAUAUGGUUGAUACAUAGUGUACACUUUGACACAUGCAACACUGAAAAGGUCACCAUCGCUGCUAGUACGGAUGAAGACACUAUCUUCUGACUGACUGAAGGAGUGGAGCGGCAGCAGAGAGAAGAAGAUGCUGAAGGAUACAGCCGCUUCGGAUCGGGAAGUCUUCUGAAGAUAAGCCGUCGUCCUGAACGGUUCCUUUCAUUUCAUGGUGGAAGGACAUGACCAUCUUCAGAAGCCGAGGGGACAUCUGAUCCUGCGCAGAAGACUGAAGAGACCUUUCCUGCUGACCGGAGUUUACAUGA